rnacentral:sRNA from 1 species
UCUAUUUUUGCAUUUGUAACUUUUAAACUUUAGAUGUUAAUAGUGAUGGAUUCCUGGAUGAACAAGAAUUAGAAGCCCUAUUUACUAAAGAGUUGGAGAAAGUAUAUGACCCUAAAAAUGAAGAGGAUGAUAUGGUAGAAAUGGAAGAAGAAAGGCUUAGAAUGAGGGAACAUGUAAUGAAUGAGGUUGAUACUAACAAAGACAGAUUGGUGACUCUGGAGGAGUUUUUGAAAGCCACAGAAAAAAAAGAAUUCUUGGAGCCAGAUAGCUGGGAGACAUUAGAUCAGCAACAGUUCUUCACAGAGGAAGAACUAAAAGAAUAUGAAAAUAUUAUUGCUUUACAAGAAAGUGAACUUAAGAAGAAGGCAGAUGAGCUUCAGAAACAAAAAGAAGAGCUACAACGUCAGCAUGAUCAACUGGAGGCUCAGAAGCUGGAAUAUCAUCAGGUCAUACAGCAGAUGGAACAAAAAAAAUUACAACAAGGAAUUCCUCCAUCAGGGCCAGCUGGAGAAUUGAAGUUUGAGCCACACAUUUAAAGUCUGAAGUCCACCAGAACUCGGAAGAAAGCUGUUAACAUCUAUUUCAUCUUUUUAGCUCCCUUCCUUUUUCUCUGCUCAAUAAAUAUUUUAAAAGC